UCUUCCAGAUGGUUAGCCUGUGGCUCAGAAC
rnacentral:piRNA from 1 species